GACAGAGGCCCCAAGCGUUAGGCGGAAUCACUGGGCUUAAAGCGUGCGCAGGCGGUUGUGCAAGACAGAUGUGAAAUCCCCGGGCUUAACCUGGGAAUGGCAUUUGUGACUGCACGGCUAGAGUGUGUCAGAGGGGGGUAGAAUUCCACGUGUAGCAGUGAAAUGCGUAGAUAUGUGGAGGAAUACCGAUGGCGAAGGCAGCCCCCUGGGAUAACACUGACGCUCAUGCACGAAAGCGUGGGGAGCAAACAGG
rnacentral:rRNA from 1 species